CACCAGAGGGACAGGGCUCUUUUUUGAGUCUUCUGGGCGUACAGGCGAGGGAACAGUGAGAACAGGGGAGGGAGAGAGGGCAUUGCCUUCGCCUGGUUUGGAGGCAAAGGGGAGGAGUGAGAGAGUCUUGGAGGGGGUGGUUCCAGGUGUGGAGGCGAUGAAAAUGGAGUCUGGAAGGUGAGAUUUCAUGUGGGACAAGAGAGGAGAGGCAGUGGAGGGAGGUGGGGACAAGGGGACCAUUGGAAGGUGGGGUUUGUAGUCGCUCUCCCUGGUAGAGAACGAGACGGUCUUCCUUCGCUUCUUGAGAGGAGGCACAAUGACAAUUGGGGAGGAGGGGCGGGGGGCUGGAGGACGAGCGUUUGAGCUGAGUGUUGAUGAAUCCUUCUUGCUGGCAGCAAUUUCUGAGAUAUGGGCACAUAUUUGAAUUAUGAAUCAGGUGAAAAACAACAUUGGCACUUGCCAUGGAAAUGAACAUCAGUAACAGAGAAACUAAAUGUGUGACUAACCAGCUUUGAUCUCGGCGCUGAGCGGUGCUUUUGGAACAGCAGCUGCAGACUUUUCUCUGGAGUGAACAACAAGUGGAAUGGUCAGUAUCAACCCAGACACACAUUGAGCAACAAAUCAAGUUUCAAUAAAGACACUUCCAUAGAAAAUAUAUAGAAAACAUUUUGGAUACUUAUAUACAGGUAUAUUCAAAAUCAGGAACACUGUUCAAAACGUACCGGUCAUCCCCCUUCUCUGUAUCCAGAGCUGUGCUGUCCAUCGUAGACUCAUCCAUGGUGUCCAGUCCACUGCCGGCCUGCUCUCCUUCCUCCUCGUCUUCAGAGGAAGAGGAGGAUGAUGAUGUUGAGGAGGAAGAACUCUCUGUGGAUGAGGAGAGGCUCUCAUCAUCGCUGUCCGCACUCAAGGCCUCAUCUGAAGAAAGAAGUGAGAGGAAGUGAGAGAUGAUAAGAUGGCAUGAUGGAAAAGAGAGGAACAGAAGGACACAGUUUGUGAUAAUAUACAAUAGUGUCUCAGGCUCAACCCAAGUCAAUGAAGCCAAAGUACAGCAGAGUAUGAAGAGGUAUACAGUGAAAUGCUGCCAUCUAGCCAGCACUAUGGGGAAAUACAACAACACUGCCAACACACACCUUAUCUGAAGAAGAACCGUCAGAAGUCUCUUCUCCUUCGCUGUCCAGGUCCCAAGGUUUCCGACUUCUCAUCUUCUUCUUCCUCCGCCUGCUGUUCCUCUCAGCCCUGUGGCCCUCCCCAUCUGCCAUUCUUCCCUCUAGACCCUUGUCAUGGUACGAGUCUGGGGGGGAGAAGGAGAGAGAAGGUGAGCAAACAUAGGAAACACAAAGACAGUCGGUGACAAAUCCCCAAAGGGAUUCCCAAAGGAGGGGGUCAUUGAUGAAAAGCUCACCUUCGUCGUCAUCCUCUGGUGGUGUCUUGGGUCUCUUCAUCUCUCCUACCUCUGCUAGCUCCAGAGGUUCUUUCCUCUUCACCUGGACACAAUACACACACACAGUUAAUAUCAUGAUAAGUUAUGGUGGAAAAAAUCCCUAAGUGAAUGGAUGGAUACAUUGGAGUAAUGUCUAUAUACAUGAACAUGUAUUAGUGUAAUGUCUAUAUACAUGAACAUGUAUUAGUGUAAUGUCUAUACAUGUACAUGUAUUAGUGUAAUGUCUAUAUACAUGAACAUGUAUUAGUGUAAUGUCUAUAUACAUGAACAUGUAUUAGUGUAAUGUCUAUACAUGAACAUGUAUUAGUGUAAUGUCUAUACAUGAACAUGUAUUAGUGUAAUGUCUAUAUACAUGAACAUGUAUUAGUGUAAUGUCUAUAUACAUGAACAUGUAUUAGUGUAAUGUCUAUAUACAUGAACAUGUAUUAGUGUAAUGUCUAUAUACAUGAACAUGUAUUAGUGUAAUGUCUAUAUACAUGAACAUGUAUUUGUGUAAUGUCUAUAUACAUGAACAUGUAUUUGUGUAAUGUCUAUAUACAUGAACAUGUAUUUGUGUAAUGUCUAUACAUGUACAUGUAUUUGUGUAAUGUCUAUAUACAUGAACAUGUAUUUGUGUAAUGUCUAUAUACAUGAACAUGUAUUAGUGUAAUGUCUAUACAUGAACAUGUAUUAGUGUAAUGUCUAUAUACAUGAACAUGUAUUUGUGUAAUGUCUAUACAUGAACAUGUAUUUGUGUAAUGUCUAUACAUGUACAGUACUAAUCCAUCUCUAUUUCCUAUGCACAGUACAAACAUGUAUGUAUCAGUAACUGACAAUUCCCCAGUUCCAACUGCUGCCUCUGUGUACUUGUUUACCUUGAAUGAGGGAAGUCGUAGCGCCCCUCUCAGUGAGAAGCCUUCCAUUCCUCCACUCUUGGCCCAGUCCACCAGAGACAUGAGGGGCUCCCGGGGCUUGCUGCUGGCCUUGUUCUCCUCCUUCUUGUCCUCGUCCCUCACUGCAGCCACACCCCGAACCAUGGUCUGGAACGGCUGGGGAGGGAGGACAGAUGUGGAUUUACAAAAGCCAAUGGGUAUCACAGCAAAUCAAAUAAUGGAUAAAAAAAUAAAAACAGGAAAACCAUGUAUGACUUAAAAAACAGAAAUCAGAAACCCAUUUCAAUUGACCAGAUGGGUAUACUACGAUGCAAGCUAGAUCUACUCAGGGUUUUCAGAAACUAGCCAGCUUCAGUUAGCUUCACAUUCCAGCUCAGAUUUCAUCCGUAAUACAAGGGUGGAUAUUGCUUGUCCGCCUGCCGCUAACUCUAGCAGGCUUGUAACUGCGUGUGCAUGUCGCACGUGGCUAAUCGAACAACAAACUCGUCGAGACAAUACUGAAACAUCAAUCCAUGGGCGAGAAAGUGACACAUUUUAAUUGUGCGUCAAGUUUCAAAUGCAUUCUGUCAUUACUAAUUGUAAUGCGAUAGGUAUUUUAACAUUUAUGUUUAACAUACAAAAAAACAUUUGAUUAAUAA